GCAUUUCUACAAAAAACACCAGCGACUGCAUGGAGAGGUGGCGUUUACCGGUACCGUCGACUUCGACUUAAUCCGCGGAGCUCCAAUAGACCGAAACAAACUUAAUUUGGGGUCCAACUACCUCGUCUGAGCUUCACUUCCUCCGGAUAAGGUCGUCAGACAAAAGGAGUCCUUGUGGGAUGUCGUCACUUCCGGUUCUUGAUGGACAGUUUGCUUGAGACGGAAUGUUACAGCAGUAAAGCCUUUUUUUUAAAUUGUGAAACAGUAAAGACAGUUUUGUGUCACUUCAAAUAAGACUCCUUUAACUUAUCUUAAUUAUUAAUUUAGCUGAAAGCUGCAGAUAAUAAACAUUAGCCUGUGUGUAGCCUCUGCUUCUUUAUAUAUGAAAUAUAUGGUUUUCCUUUAAAGAAGCUUAAUGUUUAAUUAUUUUUUCUAAAGUUUUAAAAACGUUUUUGAAAAUAAAUUGAAUAAAUACACUAAGAAAACUUCAAAAUACUCUAGCUGUUUGAAGGAAUAUGUAAUCAUCAACCAUGACAGAACCUAAAGUAAAGAGCAUAAAUAGACAAAAAACAAUAUCAUACCAGAAAAAAGUUGUAUAGAUUAAAUCAAAGUUAUCUAUUUAGAAAAGUUAAAAAAAAAAUAAAAAAUCACAUUAGAUCAAUAUAGGGCCAUAUACUGUAUUUUAUUAUUAUUUAACAACGAAAUAUUAAUAGAUACAUUUAUAGUCUAUUUAUUUUAAAAUUAUACAUCAUAACAUCACAGAGGAGAAAUUCACGCAUUGUUGAAAUUGGUUUCAGUACAACCCAAAGAAAGAUAAUAAAUCAGUAUUUUUGGA